rfam:Nitrospirae bacterium RBG_16_64_22 RBG_16_scaffold_1756, whole genome shotgun sequence.
GGUCCCCUGCCUGGCGCGUGAUUGGCUGGGAAAAUUGAUCCUAGUGCGUUAAGCAAAGGGAGCGGUGACCUAAGGGGUGUGUGCACGUCCGUUCCGCCUCGGGCGGGAUGGAAAGCCUGAUCCUCUUAUCACGGCGCCCACCUGGUCAAUGCCAGGCUCAAUUUUCCGCCGACACGACCGAGGCGGGGGUCCC